rnacentral:rRNA from 1 species
UACAGAGGUCCCAAGCGUUGUUCGGAUUCACUGGGCGUAAAGGGUGCGUAGGCGGUCGGGUAAGUCUGAUGUGAAAUCUCGAAGCCUAACUUCGAAACUGCAUUGGAUACUAUUCGGCUAGAGGAGCGGAAGGGAGACUGGAAUGCUCGGUGUAGCAGUGAAAUGCGUAGAUAUCGAGCGGAACACCAGUGGCGAAGGCGAGUCUCUGGACACUUCCUGACGCUGAGGCACGAAAGCCAGGGGAGCAAACGGG